rnacentral:tRNA from 1 species
GAUUGUGGCUCAGUGGUAGAGUGCUUGCCUCACAUGUGUGAGGCACUGGGUUCAAUUCUCAGCACUGCA